CAGUCGCGGUCCGGUUGGAGCCGCGCCGGGGCCGCUGGCUUCGCACCGAGCUUCUGUGCAGUGUGCCGGGAGAGGGGGCUCGGGAGUCUUCGGGAUCCCCCGGGUUCCGCUCCUGCCCGUGCUCAGCCCGCCUCGGUGUCCGCUCUCAGCUUGCCCCGCAUCGGCCUUUUCCCUCCCGCUCCGCCGCGGCACUCCUUUCGGGGCCGACAGCCUGGGACGCCGGGUGCGCUCGGGACGCGGGGCCCGGGAGGGGCCGGGGUGCGUGCGCUGCGCCCUCGCGCUUCACGCGUGUCCUCGGAAAGCCCUUCGAGGCGGGCCCAGCAGCGCCGAUCGAGUCGGGGUGGUGCUGCGGGCGCGGGGCUCGGGCUGCGUGGCUCAGGCUGGGGGGGGGGGGGGGACAGGAUAGCGCCCCGCCCCGGCCCCUCGUGCGGGGGCUGCUCCGCCGCCCCGGGGCCUCCGAGCAGCGACUGCGCUGGGCCGGUGGCCGGGCUCGGGAUCGCUUCUCACGGUCGCACCGCGAGGGGCCCCCGGCUGCCUCGGCCGCCCGCGCUUGGCGGGGGCAGCGGGGUUGACAAUGGCGCCGUCAGGCCCGUGUGCACGCCCGGCCUGUUACCAGGCGCCCGUGGAACUAUUCCGGCUGGAUCCAGGAGGUUUUUGUUUGAGGUUCAGAGCGGGCAAAGUCAGAAGUCUCCCCGCGGUCCUUUGUUUGAGCUGGGGGAGGGGAGGCGGCUGGUGCACGGGGACAAUCCAGGCCUGGGGAUGGAAAUGAGUGGCCCAGGGCUGCUCAGUCUGGUCGGAGCGGGGCCACGCGCUGUGUUCACAGAGUUUCCAGAGUCUGGGGAAAUUAAAAAAAGAAAGAAAGAAACCCGCCUCCCUGCCACCUGGAGAGGACGGCGGUGCACUUCUGAUGCGUUUCGUUCCAGACUGUUCCAUGCAUUUGGGCAGGAAGGAACUUUGCUGGUGAUGCAAAUGCCCUUUCUGGGGUGGAAGGGACAUGACUGUGUCCGCCGAAACACGGAAAAGGCGCAUUUCUUACAGUGUCAGGUGCCCGACACUGAACGUGACAUCAGCCAGCACAGCUCCCUGCCCGGGAGCCCUGCUCCUAACCAGCUUCGCGCUCCCCAGCGGCUCUGCAGCCAGCGCACCUGA
rnacentral:lncRNA from 1 species